rnacentral:rRNA from 1 species
UGGGGAAUUUUGGACAAUGGGGGCAACCCUGAUCCAGCCAUGCCGCGUGCGGGAAGAAGGCCUUCGGGUUGUAAACCGCUUUUAGUCGGGAAGAAAAGGCGCGGGUGAAUACCCCGCGUUUUUGACGGUACCGGCGGAAUAAGCACCGGCUAACUACGUGCAAGCAGCCGCGGUAAUACGUAGGGUGCGAGCGUUAAUCGGAAUUACUGGGCGUAAAGCGUGCGCAGGCGGUUCGUCGUGUCCGAUGUGAAAGCCCCGGGCUCAACCUGGGAAUGGCAUUGGAAACUGGCGGACUCGAGUGUGGCAGAGGGGGGUGGAAUUCCGCGUGUAGCAGUGAAAUGCGUAGAGAUGCGGAGGAACACCGAUGGCGAAGGCAGCCCCCUGGGCUAACACUGACGCUCAGGCACGAAAGCGUGGGGAGCAAAC